rnacentral:misc_RNA from 1 species
AUGACUUGGAUUUUAGCUACAUUGGUUGCAUUAUAUUCUGAACAAACAACUCUUAGAGAAGGCAACAGAUGGCCCGCAGUCCUCAUUCUUUGGUGGGUAGUUUCCUGCAUUUGCCGUUCACUUUCUGUCUCAAUUUACUUGAUUACCCAUUUCAGUUCCAUAGAAUUGCCCAAUCUCUUGCCUGAAACUAACAUUGUUGAUUUCAUUUCCUUACCAUUAUCAAUACUGCUUUGCUUCAAUGCUUUAACUUUCGCAUUCAGUUGUAAUACCAAGAUACAAAGUGGUCUUGAACACCCUUUACUUCAAGAAGAACACAAGAGCGAGUUAAAAGAUUCAGCUAGUUAUACCAAGG